rnacentral:lncRNA from 1 species
CUGUGCAUGCAAUACCUUCUUAACGGCUCCUUGUUUUCUUCCUUGGCAGCUUUCGAGCUAAUCGUUACAUUCAUUAGGUUGUGCGGCUAUAGCCGCAAAGUAAAAGUAUCGUCAAUAAUUUUCUUCUCUGGAUUGUCAAAAACCCGGAUAACACGCGUCAGGACCAUCACUUCAGGCAACCGUAGCGUUAAAUGAGUUAUUCAUGGCGCUUGAAGUUUGUGACAGCUCGGUUGCACCACCCAUCACAAGCGCAGCUGCUCAGCGAGCACCUUCGACGCAACAGCCAGGAAAAAUUGCGCCAGUUGCCUGCCCACGAUCAACUUAAGCCAACUCUGUACACACAUUCAUGCCCAGAACAACACGCGCAGGUGCUUAGACGGAGCGCUUGUUGGCCGGCUGCCAGUCGCGGGCGCUCUUGGGGCGCUGCACCAGGAAGCCCAUGAUCUGCACCUGCUUCACGUUGUCGAAGGCCACCAGGCGCACGUAGGCGUCCGGGAAGGCCUUGGUGCAGGCAACAAUCUCGCGCAGCACCUGCAUCGGGUCGCGGCAGCCGAACAUGGGCAGCUUCCACAUCGUCCAGUAGCGGUUGUCGUAGUACAGCUGCGGGGGAGGGGGAGAUGGCAGAGGGAAAAGAACGACAGGAUUGUCAGUUUGGUCAGCAAGUAAGACAUUUCAGUCAAAAACAGAGCGACCCAAAAACAUUGCUGGGCACAAACGUCUCGUAACCCUUAACUUACGCAGGAGACUGGGCCGAAGCGAACGGUCGACUCGUUCGACACGUAGGCCUUGUCGGCCUCAGCGAACUCAAGGCAAGGAAUCCAGCCUGGGAAAUGGGGAAAUGUUAUAGUAAAAAUCUUUCGGAGACGAUGACGUUGUACGAGAACAAUUUACGCUUGCAUAGCAUCCAACCCCAUCCUGAGAUAGCAUUGGAACGAGAGAAAAAGCGGGUCAAGAUCAUACCAUUAGCAACGAUGUAGUCGACCUGAGCAGCGAUCUGCUCGUCGGUCAGAGGGGGCAGGUAGGAAAAGGUCUCGAACAUCCUGCAAUGCAAAUCCAAUCACUCAAAAUUAUAAAGGUUAGGUAGAUUAUUGAACAACUCAAAGGAUUCACAAAAUAUCAAAUCACAGCCAUAAGCAACAAUGUACAGCGACUCACUUGUUGUUCACCGGCGUCCAGACCAUCAUCUUGUUGGCCUGGGCCGGAGAAGCCACAGGAGCUGCCUUAAUAGCCGGCUUGAGGACGGCGACCGGGCGCACGCUGCUGCGAGCUGGGCGCACCACAGCGGUGGCCACAGAUGACUUAGCAACAAUAGCGGCCAUUUUCCUCCUUAGUGAGAAGUAUGCGAUGACUGAGCUGGUGAGAAUGAGACUACUUCUGUCAACUUCAGUGCCGUUGCUGCCUUUUGUACCAAGGGGGCUACACCUGUACCACGAUAAACUGUACGACAAAAGGGAACGGUAGCCAGGAGUUCCAAAGAGGGUUAAAUGAAUGUUAUAUAAGCUAGUAAGUAUUAAAUUUCUGUGCAAAGGAUAGAUGCCCAAGUCUUGGAUGAGGCGAACUCGGCCGCAUGUACGAUAUGGCUGACACAUGUGUCAGCUGAAUUCUGAGCGUUUGAAAGGUUCUAACGCCAGAAUUUUACACAAGGAAUGUUAUGCGAUGCAAAAUUCGAAAGGAUGGCUUGGGCUCCGGGGUGAAAUAUUAAACCUGAGGGCUUAGGUAGCCGUUUCCCAGGUUUGUUCCAUCUUGCAGUCUCAUGGUGCACCGCGCUGUCAAAAGGUAUUAAGGGUAGUUCCGCCCGCAUCGAAAAUUUCGAAAUCGAGAUAUCAACAUUGUGUUUCCAUCUUGCCUUGUAAGCCCCCUGCCGUGGGGCCUCGAAGACGCAGGUCCCGAAAGGAUAUUAUGCCUUCAGAGGUUUGGGGGACGUUUAAAAUGAUUCUGGGUCGCUGGUUAAUAGUACCGGCCCCUCCGCAUGGCAGACGCCUUGACGAACGGCAUGAGAGGACUUCCAACAUAUUACGCGUCUGUGAUAUGCCGUGCCAAAAUCCUUGCCGCAACGCCAAUCAAUACCCUUCCAGGCCACGCGUGGACCUUUAGUGGCCUUCGACAGGGGGUUAUGACCUAGAACUGCAAUAAUACGUGGCUCUAGGCAACUUGGUUUGGUGGUUUGGUUUGGUGGCUUUAGCGCUGGGGUAGAGGCGAGGCCGAGGGAGCUAGUUGCGUACGAGUGCCCACCGGAGAUCGGGUGCCAGCCACGAUUUCUAACGGCUACCUUGCCUCGACAUUGGCUGCGAGCGAUCCUUAUGUGGUUCUCAAUCUCGCAGAUAAAUCUUUUUAGUUUAGCGGGACAGGGCAGGUCACAGGAUGACGAUGGGAGCUAAGUGAAUGGCUUGUCGCUCCGGCGACCACCACCCUGAGGACGGCUUCCUGCCGGUCGUUCCCGUUCGUUGAGCAGUGCGUCGCGGCCUCCCCCUGCGAACUGGACUAGGCCACAGUGAUACAUUAAGGUUGGGAUUCCUGUAGAUCCGUUUCUAGCUUGUUGCCCAGAUCCAGAAGGCGCUAAUAGGACAGCGUCAACCUGCUGUAAAAAUCGCUUAAAGCUUAAGUUGAUACCAUACAACACCAACCAGGGACACCAACGCAUAGCCAUUAACGUAGGAAAGUGAGGCAAAGCUGAAAGCAUUACAGCGGCUUCCCGGGAACGUACACUUGCCGAGCCUUGCCUACAUCGGGUCUCGCCUUGUGAGCAGCUAAGCUUAUACCACGCCAUUCGCGGUUCAUUGCCUGGGUCGCUUACUCUCCGUAGCCUGCUGGUAGGGGGAUAAGCAGAGUUAUGUGGCUUGCAAAGCUGCGCUGGACGAACUUGCUCCUGCGGGACAUUCCUGCCGCGUGGCUAGAAGCAGCACGACUGGCUAACCCCUUGACACAAGGUGUGCGACUGCAGCUGCCGCUCGAGGACAACGAUACUGAGCUUCGAAUCACUUAGUUGGUGUGGAAGCUUCCCAACAAUAGCAAGGUGGCGCUGAGGAAAUGGUGGCGUACGGAUGUGCACAUGUACGGACGCGACGGCUGAGGUGGACUGUCUGUCUGUGAAACAGGGGGGUAUAUCUUCACCAGUGGCAGCUACCCUGCGAAACCCUGCCUUCCCCGGUAUUUCGGGACAUCCUCAUCCAGUCACCCUAGUCAACUUCUCAGUGGAUCGCUCAGGUUCCGCACCCACCACCAGCAUCCAACGGAAUCAGCCGGGCCGUCAGCAGCCCAACUCCAUUCCUGGUCGGCGCGCAGGUUAACUCUAUCCCAGAUCACCACCGUCCAACAACUAGGGGCGCAAUACAUUCUACCAGCGGACGGAUUUAUGACCCUGAAAGAACUCGAUCCCGGAAUCUCCCGGGGGCAAUGGUCGCGCGUUACCAGUAGAGCCUAACCUAUGAAUGGAAUGUCUGUAUGUCGCAGAUUCCUGGGGGUUGGGAGCAGAUGUGGAGGAGGUGCAGCUCGACGCCAUGCUGUAAGGGCAUGACAAAUCAAUGGUCGUCAACACUGAGCGCCUGAACGGCUUCCAGUUGACAGUUUUCCCGUCAGAUCCUUAACACAUGAACGGUGUGACCAUUCCCACAGGGGGAACGCUGGUAGGUGGCAUAGAUGAGUUUAUCUUAGCCCCAAAUCGCGGCCGUGCCUAAUGGCCUAGAGAAUCCAAUUAUACUUGCUGGAUGGGAGACAGAUGGGAAACACUCGUUGCUAAUUGCUAUCCAAGCCGCGCUAAGGGAUCUUGGUACCUUAUUGGCUUUGGCACCUCUCUGCACCUCCUAUGCAGCUUUUGUGGGCGGGCAGCGCGGGUAAUUCUGCCGGAUCCAUCCCAACUUGAUUCAUUACAUGUAUUUACGAGCACAAAAGUCGAGUAUUAAUCAAUAGUCAAUAUUCACUAAAUUCUUCCAAUGAGCUGACCUUCAUGUAAACCGAACGGCCAGCACCGCCCUUCCUGCUAUCUGCUCCGAGAGGGCAAAACAUACAUAAGAACUGCGCUGACCAUACGAAACUGUCGAGCGACAUCCAAAAUACCAAGGUAAGCCAUCUAUGUCGCCAUCUAAUCGGGUCGAGGCAUUUAAUCUUCUCUGAACAUCAUUAAGAGAAGAUGUAUCUCCUAACAGGCAGCCCGAAGCAUAUGUCAUUAUUAGCGGAUGGAAUUUUUCCUAAUGAAUGGUUCACUACGAACAGCUGCUGAGCCAGCAUCCCUUGAUGCAACAGCAGGGAAAAAUUGCACAGGACAUGCUGGCAUAAAACCAUGCGAGCGCAUCCACACUCCCGAGGCGAUUAGCAACACGCGCAGCUGCUUAGACGGAGCGCUUGUUGGCCGGCUGCCAGUCGCGGGCGCUCUUGGGGCGCUGCACCAGGAAGCCCAUGAUCUGCACCUGCUUCACGUUGUCGAAGGCCACCAGGCGCACGUAGGCGUCCGGGAAGGCCUUGGUGCAGGCAACGAUCUCGCGCAGCACCUGCAUCGGGUCGCGGCAGCCGAACAUGGGCAGCUUCCACAUCGUCCAGUAGCGGUUGUCGUAGUACAGCUGCGGGGGAGGGAGGGACGGAAGCAGAAAAAAAGUAUGUUUAGCGACGGCGCAAGAAAAAGUGGUCAAGUCCCGAUAGGCUAUGGAAUACCUAACAGCGGAGUUGAAAUGAUGACCAUCCCUUUCGCCGUAUACCCCAACUUACGCAGGAGACUGGGCCGAAGCGGACGGUCGACUCGUUCGACACGUAGGCCUUGUCGGCCUCAGCGAACUCAAGGCAAGGAAUCCAGCCUGAUACAAAAGGGGGACAUCCGAGAGUGUACAAACUUGCAAACCAUUGCCCAUACAACCCAAGCUGAAGCCCAAACUCCGAUUGGAAGGCAACAUUGACCCUUAGGAAUGUUGCCUUACCAUUAGCAACGAUGUAGUCAACCUGAGCAGCGAUCUGCUCGUCAGUCAGAGGGGGCAGGUAGGAAAAGGUCUCGAACAUCCUGAAAGAGAAAACAAGUUGUGAACAUAAAACGUGUAAGCAAGCGGAAAGAAAAGCGUUUGGCAGUACAAAUAUAAGACAAAACAAAAGAAAUCGCAAGACAAGUACCGACGUGAUUAGGCAAAUACCGACGUGCCGUUCAUGAAAGACAUUCCUAAUCUCGCUUCAGGGAUACAGAAUCAAGGUAAUUUAGUAGAUUGUGCAGUAGAAAAGGUGCAGCUACUCACUUGUUGUUCACCGGGGUCCAGACCAUCAUCUUGUUAGCCUGGGCCGGAGCAGUGACCGGGGCAGCCUUGACAGCCGGCUUCAGAGCUGCAACAGAACGCUGAACGCUGUUGCGGGAUGGGCGCGCCACUGCGCUGGCCACAGAUGAUUUAGCAACAAUAGCGGCCAUUUUGGGAUAUGAUUUAAAUGUUUAAGAAUCACUAAUAUAUUAAUUGUAUGCUUAAUUGUGAUCACAGCUGAUUGCUUUUGUAUUGUGAUGAUCUGUACCACGAUAAAACGUACGGCAGCGUUGAAGCCUUGGCACGGACUUCCCUGGGGCUAAUGUUUUAAUCUUGGAGAGCAUAUUCUGAUAACCUUUGCAUUUCAUCAGGUCUAGGGCUUCAGUCGGAGAAAGCUCGGUCCUUAAGGUUCUCAGCCUUGGUCAUAAGGAUAAGGUUUUCGAUGCCGUUUGCUAGUGCAUAAGGUACAACUACCAUUAAGAAUCAAGUAAUUUGCUCAUUGCGGCAGAAAACGUGGUGUUGCACUAUAUAGCCUGUCAAUGGCUUACGAAGGGCGAAGUGCCGUCAGACCUUUAUGGCCAUUCUGAGUGGCCAGCCCAUACUUGCAAACAAUGAGAAUGUCCAUACUUGAUUCGGAAAGUAACAAUUUCUGGCAGUUAGUGGUCAAAGCCUCGCCCGUGGAGCUCAAUUUGAGGAUAGACAUUGUGUUGUGUUUUCAAUUUCAAGUGUUCAUGGAUUCCAUUACAAACUAUUUUGGGACAGUUAAGAGUCACCAUGAGGGCAGAUCGCUGCAACCGCUUCUUUCGUCCGAAUGGAUGAGCCUUUAAGUUCUAUACAAAGGCCGUGCAAGGGUCAAUAUCCAUACCUGUGCUGAACGAAGCGACGCCUCAGUACUGGGCACCGCAGGCGGCCAUUGCUCAGAAUGCUCUGGAUCAAGAGUUUUAGGCAUCGUCUUCUGGCCCAGCAGCGGUUGUGAUUUUCGUAUUACUGCUGCGGCAAUGGGGAGCUGUUUCACUGCAAUUGGGCUUGGUCUAGAACACGUACAAACACGGAUUUAUAGGGUCGCAUAAGACUGCAACGUCGUCCAACGACGUGGUUUUGUUGCAGCGUUUACAACACCAACGUUUGCGCGAGAGAUGUGUGUAGGAAAACAUGUGUGUGUGUGUUUUUGUGUGUGUGUUUUUGUGUGUGUGUUAGUAUAGUGGGCUGUCGUAUUUCCCUCAAGAUGUUUCACUUAAGCCCAAUCUCAAGUUCAUCUGCAGCGCUAAGUUUCCAUCUUCCCUCAUUAAUCGAGUAACGUUACAGUUUAUCCCAUCACCUCGAACCAUGGCCGCAGAAAUAGGAGGGGCGCGUACCUAAUAGUAUUAGCGCGUUAGGAAAACCCGCACUUAUCACAAUUAAGUCAUGCCAGGAUGGGUUGUUAGCAUGCGUCCUCAUAACGCGCCCCGCCUACGCCUCCUACGUGUCUAAUCGUCACCCACACAUUCAAACCACUAAUCCCCCAAGCCGUCUAUUCGGUCAGUCAUCGUCAAUAUUUCUUCACUGAGCAUGGCUACUAUACCUAGUAGAAACUUCAAGGCAUCAUCCCACGACUGGAAAACCGCCGGAUCCCACGUUUAUUGCUGGCGUACACACACACUCAUGAAUGGCUAGUUAUCGGUAAAAAUUAGAAUGCAUCAACUCUGCACGCAACCUACAAUCAACCAACUGAAAAAACAUUUGCACCAGAAACCUGCUUCCUGUACGUGUACGAUAAACCGACCAAUUCUUCCGAUAUGCCGGCCAUGCGUGCGCAUCCACACUCCCGAGGCGAUUAGCAACACGCGCAGCUGCUUAGACGGAGCGCUUGUUGGCCGGCUGCCAGUCGCGGGCGCUCUUGGGGCGCUGCACCAGGAAGCCCAUGAUCUGCACCUGCUUCACGUUGUCGAAGGCCACCAGGCGCACGUAGGCGUCCGGGAAGGCCUUGGUGCAGGCAACGAUCUCGCGCAGCACCUGCAUCGGGUCGCGGCAGCCGAACAUGGGCAGCUUCCACAUCGUCCAGUAGCGGUUGUCGUAGUACAGCUGCGGGGGAGGGAGGGACGGAAGCAGAAAAAAAGUAUGUUUAGCGACGGCGCAAAAAAAAGUGGUCAAGUCCCGAUAGGCUAUGGAAUACCUAACAGCGGAGUUGAAAUGAUGACCAUCCCUUUCGCCAUAUCCCCCAACUUACGCAGGAGACCGGGCCGAAGCGAACGGUCGACUCGUUCGACACGUAGGCCUUGUCGGCCUCAGCGAACUCCAGGCAAGGGAUCCAGCCUGGAGGGCGUUUACAGGCAGCGAACCACCUUAGCCACCGUGCCGUGAGAAAGCGAAUACCAUGCGGGUUACGAAACCCACGACCACUUUGAAAGAAACACGGAUUCUUGGUAUUGUAGCAAGGGAGAUGGAGCAGAUCCGUAUGGUACAUACUUGCCCUAAGUACGUGGGACAGAGCCUUACCAUUAGCAACAAUGUAGUCAACCUGAGCAGCGAUCUGCUCGUCAGUCAGAGGCGGCAGGUAGGAAAAGGUCUCGAACAUCCUGCAAGGUACAAAUGCCUUAGGCCCUUAUAAUUCCGCUAUAUGAUAUAAGGAUAGAAGGGCUCAGCGAAUAGUCAAUGAGGGCGAAGUAGUAACAGAGGGCAGCAGCUAGUUUUUCGCGCAGCAGCUCACUUGUUGUUCACCGGAGUCCAGACCAUCAUCUUGUUGGCCUGAGCCGGAGCAGUGACCGUGGCAGCCUUGACAGCCGGCUUCAGCACGGCGCAUGGGCGCACGCUGCUGCGAGCAGGGCGCACCACAGCGGUGGCCACAGACGACUUCAUCACCAUAGCGGCCAUCGUAGAUAAUUCUUUGGGGAAAACACAACAAAUCUAUGAUGAAUGCAGGCCCACACUGAUUAUUGAACUGCGCUGCGCUUUUUGUAUUGGGACGACCAUGAUUAUAGAUUGUACGGUUAAAGUUCGUCGUACAUUUUAUCCUGGUACAGGUAGACCUGUGGCCAGGCUUUAAUAAUGCUUGGAGGGCAUUGGUGCAUUUCCAUCUUGGAAAAUACCCUAAGUAAUCUUCUUUGUUUUUUGCUUGAUUAGGGAAUCAAGCAGUAGGUGAAACUUGGUUCCGUGUAUGACGAGGCUGACUAAUGCUUGUUGUUGGGAGGGCUUAAGUAGUAAAUCCGUGUAGUAAGUCGGGUUACAAGGUGUUGAUCAAGAUUUUGGCCUAACGCAGACACUUGCAUAUCCUUGGAGGAAGUUACGGCUUGAUGCAGGAGUUCCGCAGUUUCGGCCCAUAGACACUUUAUCGUUCGCAUAUGUAACAUAGGCGGACAAUGGUCUUUCAAGGCUAAACAGAUUUCGGUGUAGAUUGGUUGCGGUUGAUUCACUUUGACGCUCAGUCCAGGAGAUGUAAGGUUCAGGAUCAGAUUUAUUUCGAAUCUGUUCAAACUUAGCAGCAAUAAGUUUGAUCUGUAUGAAAAUCUCAAAAUCAGCGUGUCGACGAUUGUGUCGGAAAUUCGAUCGCCUUAAAUCAAAGGUCUUGGACUUUAUAUCGCAGAAGAUACUCGUCAUCACACAUUUGAUUGGACGCGUUUAGAUUUUAUUACUAGCUAACAUAUCCGGCGUAUGUUGUUGUAAUUGGUUUAUUCUUCCCUAAUUCCAAAACCCAUACUAGUUCAGAGAGAACACUCCACGUUCAGACCCACAUUCAGAUCCCAUACUGCUUCACCGAUUUCCGUUUUCAUCGUUUGGUAACGAUGAGCCCUGUUCUAUGCUUAUUGAGUUUCAUUUAUUGUAACAAUGCAUUCGAAGAAAGUAACUGGUCUAGGGAUCUCUGUUAAGCAUCGGAACACGUAUCCUACCCGGAAGCAAGGAUGUCCCACAGUCCGGAAGGCAAUCCAAAUUCGUGUGCGCUUACACAUGAAAGGGUUUUCUGCUCAGGAUUGAAUUGAACGCGAGCGCGCUCGCUGUUCAUAUGCAUCAUUAGUGGGAUGCAAAUUAUUGUGAAGCACACACGGAUCAAUGACCACGACCGAAACAAACAACUGAAAAACAAACAUAUGUACAACCACAGACAAAAACAUUCCCAAAAACGAGAGUAGUCCACUAGAGAACUGCGAACAAAAUUAAAAAAUGUGUCCAGAGCUCAUAAGCAAACUCCCAACUCAAAGAAUGUUCUACUGAUCUGGGUUCGUCCAUUCCGCCAAAAGCGUUGAACGCUUAGACGGAGCGCUUGUUAGCCGGCUGCCAGUCGCGGGCGCUCUUGGGGCGCUGCACCAGGAAGCCCAUGAUCUGCACCUGCUUCACGUUGUCGAAGGCCACCAGGCGCACGUAGGCGUCCGGGAAGGCCUUGGUGCAGGCAACGAUCUCGCGCAGCACCUGCAUCGGGUCGCGGCAGCCGAACAUGGGCAGCUUCCACAUCGUCCAGUAGCGGUUGUCGUAGUACAGCUGCGGGGGAGGGAGGAAUGGGGCAGGCGACAGGAGGGGAUAUUUAUGUGUACAUGAUUGCUACACAUGAAGACUUAUUACAUGGUCCUCUCGUAGAAUACGAUGAGUAAUACAGUUGAGUUGAUUACUUCAUAAUGGCGGAACAUCCAGCUAACAUCAACGAGGUUGAGGGUCAACUUACGCAGGAGACUGGGCCGAAGCGGACGGUCGACUCGUUCGAGACGUAGGCCUUGUCGGCCUCAGCGAACUCAAGGCAAGGAAUCCAGCCUGACAACAGGAAUAGAAGGCGAGUCAACCAAUAAUAUACCCAAAUGAGAGAAAAGGCACUUUAAAUUAUGCAAUUAAAGCUGCUUUGUUUAAUAUGGGAACACUAUUCGAGAAUGGCCUGGACAUUCCUCACCGUUCGCGACAAUGUAGUCGACCUGGGCAGCAAUCUGCUCGUCGGUCAAGGGCGGCAGGUAAGAGAAGGUCUCGAACAUCCUGGAACAUGAAAGGGACGCCAUCAGAACGCAACCUUACAUUUACUGUGCGAUGACCUCACAAACGCAAGUAUAUUCAUUUGCAAGGUGCAGCAAUAUCGCUAACUCGAGCACGAACUCACUUGUUGUUCACCGGAGUCCAGACCAUCAUCUUGUUGGCCUGAGCCGGAGCAGCGACCGUGGCAGCCUUGACAGCCGGCUUCAGCACGGCGCAUGGGCGCACGCUGCUGCGAGCGGGGCGCGCAACAGCGGCAGCCACAGACGACUUAGCAAUGAUAGCGGCCAUUUUGACUGUUUUGGUCUUUAGAACGUGAUAAGUUCGGACAAAGUAUCAUAGAAAUGCUGGCAAGCAUUAAUGACCAAGAGCGGGUACGGCGGAUAGAGGUACGGAAAAGCUCAUCCUCGUAACGCUCCGAAUCGCCGACGGUUUCGCGUACGGCAAGCAAGACACCUAACACAUUAGCGUAUCAUGUCUACUUUAACACUUGUUAUUUUUCAUUUAAUAAUUGGGUAGUCUGCAAUAAAUCAAUCGAUGUGCAUAUCAUCUGUAGUAUACAUCAAUGACCAGAUUUCGAUCGGCCAGGGAAGAAUAUAUGUAGCCCUAUGGAUUUACUAAGCAUGGCAGAGAGGACACGAAAGAUGUCACUUGCGGGCUUCAUAAGUGUGCGAGCGACUUGGUUCAUACCGUGAGCUUCCAUUUGCUGUUUGUGUCGUCAGGCCCAGUACCACAUAGACACCUGGUACGCGUAGAAAGUAACUGAUGCGAACCAAGCUAUCAAGUGUUAUAACCUUGACAGCUAUCCAAAGACAGCUCCAUCUCCACACCGCUGCAUCGACAUACGGUGGGGUUUCUUGGCCAUGGUAGGGGGCUCGCCCUAGCUUCUCGAGGGCUUUCGCUAGCGUUUCUGCAAGGGACACGGUAAUGCGGUGAGGUUGAUUUGAAGGUUACACAUUUUAAAGCUAAAGUGUCGGCACAAUUGUGGAGGGGUCCGUCAAGCCGGCGCUCCGGAUGGACCGUUGGUAAGAGUUUUUGUUGGGUGACAUCAUCGUCCUCCCGCGCCCGUUGAAGUGCGUGCCCCAGUAUACCAGGUCUCGGAAGUUAGCUACUGCCAAGGGGGGGGGACAGUGCGCAUGUUCAUGCCCAUACUAAGCCGUCAAGCUAUCACAAGCAUUACUAAAACAUCCACAGCCACAAAUCCCGCAGAUUCUUACAAUUCGCUCAUGAUCAUGGGGCUUACAGUCCCCUAAUCAUCUAUAGCCAUAUCUGAUCACUGAACGAUACAUUGUCUGCCCAGAUCUAGAACUAAAAGUUAUUAUUUUGGACAUGCCAAUAACCUCAACAAAACCUUAAAACCUUAAGGAAGAGCCCUUCAACUCUUAGUAUCUUUCCGCAGCUGUAGCGCUGGUGGCAUUAACGGUUUGCACGUCACUACAUGCGCACAUAAACAUAAAACGUGCUUUCUUCCUCAGAGGUGACUUAAGGACUUCCGCCAUGCCAUGCCAUAAGCCAGUAUCCACACCAUGUACUAGUACGUCACGACGAUGCACCUAGAGUUUACUUUCCUGUGCUAUACAGCAUACCUAUUAAUGCUUAUUUCACAAAUGGUCAUAUACCUAUGCAGCCCCGUUCGUGAUGCAUGGCUGAGGCUGCCAUAGCUACCUCUUUUUCAUGUCAGAUUACAUACUGACGGCUGACUUGCUCAGAACUUUAGCUUUACUGAUUAGGGGAAAGUAGGGGGAGGNNNNNNNNNNNNNNNNNNNNNNNNNNNNNNNNNNNNNNNNNNNNNNNNNNNNNNNNNNNNNNNNNNNNNNNNNNNNNNNNNNNNNNNNNNNNNNNNNNNNNNNNNNNNNNNNNNNNNCCUGAGUGAUGGGUCGCGCUCAAGUGCUGACGCUUCCGGAGCCACAUCGCUGCAGGGAACAAUUUUGUCCACGAUUUUGGCCGUGUAAUAUGCUUUGGAGAUACUUCCCCCUACUUUCCCCUAAUCAGUAAAGCUAAAGUUCUGAGCAAGUCAGCCGUCAGUAUGUAAUCUGACAUGAAAAAGAGGUAGCUAUGGCAGGAGGGUAGGAUUCGGGCUGGAAUUAGGGAAGAGCUCUGUCGCAGAAUUAGCCUGGAUUUUAUUCCUGACAAAAGAAUUGGUCUGCCGAGGUCUGGAAUUGUUCUGGCGGACCCGCCGGAGGUAUUCGAAUUGCGCUGUGGAGCCUCGGAAUUGGGCUGUGCUGCGCCUGAAUUGGCCUGUCCGGGUGUCGAAUUGGCCUGUCCGGGUGCCGAAUUGGCCUAACAGGGUAUUGAAUUAGCCUGACAGGGUAUCGAAUUGACCUGUUCGGGGUGUCAAAUUGGCCUGACAGGGUAUCGAAUUAGCCUGACAGGGUGUCGAAUUGGCUGUCAAGUUGGCAGGAUUGGCUCGGGCUGGCAUCCAAAAGCACAUGACUUUUAAGGAAUUUACAGAAAAACUUUGCAAGAGGACCGCUUACAAGUGCCUCAUGUGUGUAUUAGAUUCGAUCCCACGACAUGGGUGGAUGCUGUGCGUCGUCAAUUCGAAGAAGUUCUAGGCGUCUACUCCGUUGGUGAAGCAUGGGAACUGUUCCGAGGUGAGAGAUUUAGAUUGUUGAUCAGAGAGAAAAGCGCGAGUCCGUGCUAGAGACGUGGGGCGGCGAUGUCCCCGUGCCGUGCCGAGAACAACCGGAAACUUUGCGAACGGUGUUUUGAAAGACAAUGUGCCCUUCAUUGCAGAGGAUUUCCAGCUCUCCCCGCUUCGCGCCGCCAUGGCACUGAGAGGGAAUGUACCGGGCCUUACCGUCUCGGACGCGAAAUCCCUCUUGUUCAAGAUCAAAACGGCAUCGGAGGGGGCCGUGGAGGAUCAGGGACACAGGGACGCGGAGACUGGCACCGUCGAGGACGCGGCGGAACUGUGGUCCCGAUGAGUGCACCAGCCGGCAUCACCGAAGCAGAGGAUGUGCCACCCCGCGUCAAGUCGCGUGGUGCUACUGGUAAGUGGCGACGUGAGAUGUGUGGUAGGGAAGAGUGGGCAACCUAGAAAGGAGGAACCCACCUCACCCCACCCACCCAAUUGCAUAAUGUUAUACAUACCGACGUCUAUGAAACAUCAUACCAUAUGACAACAGAUAUGCCCCCCUUUUUUUACAACCCUGUAUAGGNNNNNNNNNNNNNNNNNNNNNNNNNNNNNNNNNNNNNNNNNNNNNNNNNNNNNNNNNNNNNNNNNNNNNNNNNNNNNNNNNNNNNNNNNNNNNNNNNNNNNNNNNNNNNNNNNNNNNNNNNNNNNNNNNNNNNNNNNNNNNNNNNNNNNNNNNNNNNNNNNNNNNNNNNNNNNNNNNNNNNNNNNNNNNNNNNNNNNNNNNNNNNNNNNNNNNNNNNNNNNNNNNNNNNNNNNNNNNNNNNNNNNNNNNNNNNNNNNNNNNNNNNNNNNNNNNNNNNNNNNNNNNNNNNNNNNNNNNNNNNNNNNNNNNNNNNNNNNNNNNNNNNNNNNNNNNNNNNNNNNNNNNNNNNNNNNNNNNNNNNNNNNNNNNNNNNNNNNNNNNNNNNNNNNNNNNNNNNNNNNNNNNNNNNNNNNNNNNNNNNNNNNNNNNNNNNNNNNNNNNNNNNNNNNNNNNNNNNNNNNNNNNNNNNNNNNNNNNNNNNNNNNNNNNNNNNNNNNNNNNNNNNNNNNNNNNNNNNNNNNNNNNNNNNNNNNNNNNCUUCACCCACUCCUGCACCUGGAGCGCGCACCGUUGGUCCCAACAUGGAUCCGGAGGCACAGCGCAUCGUCAGCCCCGACGUGGCGACAUGGAUAUUAGCGAUAGCGAGUCUGGUGAGGGAGUCCAUAUGGUUCGAAGCGGAGGGGGUGGGAAUGUGCGCCUGUUUCUCUCCAGUGAGAGUCCGGAGUGGUUCACCCCACUGAGUAUCAUAGAGCUGGUGCGCGAGGUGUUCACUCCUGGCAGGAUCGACCUGGACCCAUGCUCGUCCGCGGCUGCUAACACACGUGUUGGGGCGACAGUGUAUUACGAUAUGGAAUCCGAUGGUCUGUUGGAGUGCAACGCGUGGAUGGGCAAUGUGUUUGUCAACCCGCCUUUUGGGGUGCAGGGUGGUGCAAGCUAUCAGAGCCUGUUUUUCCAGAGAUGCGCAACAGAGUACACGGCUGGUCACAUUCACCAAGCAGUACUGCUACUGAAAGCCGCUGUGGGUUAUGCGUGGUUUGAUGCCAUACUACAAUGGCCUGUCUGUUUUCUGCGCCAACGUUUGGCGUUUGUGCGUGGGCAAUCCGGGAGUCAACAGCAGGAGGGAGGACCCCUGACAUGGGGAGCGGGGGUAGCCAAUCCACACGGAAGUGUCGUGGUUUACAUGGGCCCAGACGUGCAACGUUUUGUGUCAGUGUUUGGUUGUAUGGGCGGAAUACCGGGGGCGACUUCAUGGGCCAUGCCCCGCCCAACGGAGAGCUCGAUGGAUUAAGGCAUAGAUUGCAUAUGGCGAACAUAUUCUUCUCGGCAGACAUCUGCAUUUUCAUUUGUUUUCAAUGUAGCUCGUGGUACUGAGUUUAGCGGUUUAUCAGAGAUUUGUCAUUGUUUCCACCCGAACCUAUUCAUGCAAACGAGUGUUGUGGGAUAAACUGGACGGACUGUCGAUAAAGUGUGGUGGGAAAACAGUGGGACCUCGGCAGCUGACUUGACUGGGUAAUGCAGUCGUGGCCCUGAGUGCUUGCCUCCGGUAGUAGUAGUAGUGCCAGAGUACGGUAACCAGGUGUGCAAGUUUUUCCACUCCAUGUCGUGGGAUCGAAUCUAAUACANNNNNNNNNNNNNNNNNNNNNNNNNNNNNNNNNNNNNNNNNNNNNNNNNNGGUUCAUCGGUGCUAAGACUGGCAACAUCGAGAAUAUUAUCAACCACGUCAAAACACGCCAGCACAUGAUGGCGUGCAAGCAAGAGACACAGCGGCUCACCCAGCAGGGUGGCCUUGUCGCGCGGCCCAUGCCACCACCUGGAGUGCGAGACGUCAGCUGUGCCUGGCCACCUGACAUGCGCAUGCAUCUAUAUGGCAUGUCGGACGAGGCGGCAGAGGAGGAGUAUCAGCGCCUCUACAGCCAGUUUCAGCACAGGCGCACACGUCGGCGAGAGCAGCAGCCCAAUGCCGUAGACAGUGGGCGCCGCAUCUUACCGUGCACUUCACCCACUCCUGCACCUGGAGCGCGCACCGUUGGUCCCAACAUGGAUCCGGAGGCACAGCGCAUCGUCAGCCCCGACGUGGCGACAUGGAUAUUAGCGAUAGCGAGUCUGGUGAGGGAGUCCAUAUGGUUCGAAGCGGAGGGGGUGGGAAUGUGCGCCUGUUUCUCUCCAGUGAGAGUCCGGAGUGGUUCACCCCACUGAGUAUCAUAGAGCUGGUGCGCGAGGUGUUCACUCCUGGCAGGAUCGACCUGGACCCAUGCUCGUCCGCGGCUGCUAACACACGUGUUGGGGCGACAGUGUAUUACGAUAUGGAAUCCGAUGGUCUGUUGGAGUGCAACGCGUGGAUGGGCAAUGUGUUUGUCAACCCGCCUUUUGGGGUGCAGGGUGGUGCAAGCUAUCAGAGCCUGUUUUUCCAGAGAUGCGCAACAGAGUACACGGCUGGUCACAUUCACCAAGCAGUACUGCUACUGAAAGCCGCUGUGGGUUAUGCGUGGUUUGAUGCCAUACUACAAUGGCCUGUCUGUUUUCUGCGCCAACGUUUGGCGUUUGUGCGUGGGCAAUCCGGGAGUCAACAGCAGGAGGGAGGACCCCUGACAUGGGGAGCGGGGGUAGCCAAUCCACACGGAAGUGUCGUGGUUUACAUGGGCCCAGACGUGCAACGUUUUGUGUCAGUGUUUGGUUGUAUGGGCGGAAUACCGGGGGCGACUUCAUGGGCCAUGCCCCGCCCAACGGAGAGCUCGAUGGAUUAAGGCAUAGAUUGCAUAUGGCGAACAUAUUCUUCUCGGCAGACAUCUGCAUUUUCAUUUGUUUUCAAUGUAGCUCGUGGUACUGAGUUUAGCGGUUUAUCAGAGAUUUGUCAUUGUUUCCACCCGAACCUAUUCAUGCAAACGAGUGUUGUGGGAUAAACUGGACGGACUGUCGAUAAAGUGUGGUGGGAAAACAGUGGGACCUCGGCAGCUGACUUGACUGGGUAAUGCAGUCGUGGCCCUGAGUGCUUGCCUCCGGUAGUAGUAGUAGUGCCAGAGUACGGUAACCAGGUGUGCAAGUUUUUCCACUCCAUGUCGUGGGAUCGAAUCUAAUACACACAUGAGGCACUUGUAAGCGGUCCUCUUGCAAAGUUUUUCUGUAAAUUCCUUAAAAGUCAUGUGCUUUUGGAUGCCAGCCCGAGCCAAUCCUGCCAACUUGACAGCCAAUUCGACACCCUGUCAGGCUAAUUCGAUACCCUGUCAGGCCAAUUUGACACCCCGAACAGGUCAAUUCGAUACCCUGUCAGGCUAAUUCAAUACCCUGUUAGGCCAAUUCGGCACCCGGACAGGCCAAUUCGACACCCGGACAGGCCAAUUCAGGCGCAGCACAGCCCAAUUCCGAGGCUCCACAGCGCAAUUCGAAUACCUCCGGCGGGUCCGCCAGAACAAUUCCAGACCUCGGCAGACCAAUUCUUUUGUCAGGAAUAAAAUCCAGGCUAAUUCUGCGACAGAGCUCUUCCCUAAUUCCAGCCCGAAUCCUACCCUCCUGCCAUAGCUACCUCNNNNNNNNNNNNNNNNNNNNNNNNNNNNNNNNNNNNNNNNNNNNNNNNNNGCUGCUUAGACGGAGCGCUCAAGUGCUGACGCUUCCGGAGCCACAUCGCUGCAGGGAACAAUUUUGUCCACGAUUUUGGCCGUGUAAUAUGCUUUGGAGAUACUUCCCCCUACUUUCCCCUAAUCAGUAAAGCUAAAGUUCUGAGCAAGUCAGCCGUCAGUAUGUAAUCUGACAUGAAAAAGAGGUAGCUAUGGCAGCCUCAGCCAUGCAUCACGAACGGGGCUGCAUAGGUAUAUGACCAUUUGUGAAAUAAGCAUUAAUAGGUAUGCUGUAUAGCACAGGAAAGUAAACUCUAGGUGCAUCGUCGUGACGUACUAGUACAUGGUGUGGAUACUGGCUUAUGGCAUGGCAUGGCGGAAGUCCUUAAGUCACCUCUGAGGAAGAAAGCACGUUUUAUGUUUAUGUGCGCAUGUAGUGACGUGCAAACCGUUAAUGCCACCAGCGCUACAGCUGCGGAAAGAUACUAAGAGUUGAAGGGCUCUUCCUUAAGGUUUUAAGGUUUUGUUGAGGUUAUUGGCAUGUCCAAAAUAAUAACUUUUAGUUCUAGAUCUGGGCAGACAAUGUAUCGUUCAGUGAUCAGAUAUGGCUAUAGAUGAUUAGGGGACUGUAAGCCCCAUGAUCAUGAGCGAAUUGUAAGAAUCUGCGGGAUUUGUGGCUGUGGAUGUUUUAGUAAUGCUUGUGAUAGCUUGACGGCUUAGUUUGCAGCACCCUUAUGGCCGCGGAGCCACAUGACCACGGUGACGACCCCCACCCUAGUUCCACGGAGCAACAGCGACGCCACCGGACAACCCCUGUUCCUCCGACCGAUCCAAAGCUUUCACCCUUUCUCUUUCCCGGCAAAAGCCCCUAGAAGUACCGCACUAUCGCAGCAGUUGCUGCUGCAGGACCCCUGCCGCCGAUGCCAGCAGCAACAGCACCCCUGUGGCCACGAUCGGGUUGUCCAGACUGAGGAAGCGAGGGGUGGGUGUUGAGCCCGAGGGCCGAAGCAAGUUAGUGACGGGCUCGUCCGUCUCGUACGACUCUUCGCCGUACGAUGAGUCCGCUACCGUACUUCUGUUGCUGCUGCUGCUCCCGUCCUUUGCCGUGGCGGUGGCCGCUGGUAUAUCGCUGUUCAGUUGUUGUUGCUGCUGCUGCGGCUGCUGGCGGCGGCGGCGGUCUUCUCGUUUCCGAAGCCAUUCUGCGUAGAACCAGCGCUCCAGCCUGUGAGAGGGAGAGAGCGGAUACAGAUCAGGUUGAGAGGGGUAAAGCGGGUUACACGGCGAGAUAUGAAAGCACGUCAGGAGUUGGACGGACCCGGGACGCACCUAGAGCGCCUAGGGUAAGGCAAGUCGGAGUCGUGCAGGAUGGGUUGCAUUACCUGCGACCCGGGUAGUUCAGCCGAUAAGUCAUGCAACCCCCCCCAACACGUGCAUACUCACAUAUGUACUGACAUAUGGUUCACACUCAUCAUCGCCGGCUGCAUACGUACCGGAUUGACGGUCGUCAAUGAUAUCGGGGAGCUUCACAGCCGUCACCUUCGUCAUCCCCAUCCCCACCCCCAUCUCUAUUGCAACCAUCAUGCGUUUAACCAUGCCUGCUUUCUCUCCGGCUCGUGGACAAGCCUCUGUUAAUAAAGACCCGCCAUUGCAUUCUCAUGUCCCGGCCCCGGCACCGGGCCCCUACAAGUGAGGGGGGAACGGCCUAGAAAGAAAGUGCCUCCCUGCCUACCGUACCCCUUAACUCCCUACUACCUUUCGGCAUUGCUCCGCCAACACUGCGUCUCCAACAGAAAAAAAUCCAUACAGCACCGGCACGGAGAGAACCACGGUCACUUGACUCAUUUGCAAAUGAUACCGUACUUCAACAUUUAAGGCCAACACCACCAUUCAGAGUUAGGUUCUCACCAUCGCUCCUGUGUAGCUUCCGGCCCCUCCAGCUCCUGGAGGUAGGUGUUAAGCGGCCCUAGCCGCUUACUGCGACCUAACGCAGCGCGCUCUGAAGGCACAACCACAAGCCACCAGUACCCCGCGGCUACGGCUGUCAGCGCGAGUACAAAGCCUUGAGCAGCCAGGACGCUUGUGUCUGGCAGUUGGGGAUCAAAUGUCGUCCCCGGGGCCAAAGAGGUUGCUGAGGCAAGGGCGUCUGAUGCGCUAUGGGUUUGCAGGUUCACCAUGUCGCCGCAAGUGGCGUCCUGGCAUGGCGAAUAGCCGUUAACCGCGAAGGGACCGCGAAGGGAAGCAGGACGCAUGAUCCGCAUAUAUAAACUUCGUUUCAGUGGGAAUUCUGUUUGGCGAUGGUGUGUCCACGUCGGAGAGUUCGGCAAAUGCGAUAUACAUCGCUGAUGCGAUCGUCUCCAGCUUUGCCUGCACAUCAUGACUCUAACAACGAUGAUACAGACAGCGAAGCUAUGUGGACGGUUUGAUUUACAAUAACUUGUUCUGUUAGAUUUUCCAGUUUGUAAAAAUUGGCAAAGCAGAUUCACUUGCGGAAACAAUUGGAUUGAAUUAACUAGACACACUAGGUUCAAUACAUUACACUUAUAUGUUAACAGCUGGUUGAUAUGAUCAUGUGGGUGAAAGAGGGCAACAACUACUGUUUAUACCGUACUACUGAUAUCAGAUUCUGGAAUGUUACCAUCUGCACGUCACCUCGGUAGAUUGGUAUACUGCUCUGCAUUCUUCUGACACCGAAUGAUUUCUGGGAUUGGAGAAGAGGCACGCAGACGAGAUAUCACGUGGCUUACACGGAAGUGUUUUCUUCUCUUGGUAGGGUUUAUAUCCCAAAAUGUCCUAGUGAAUAUGAUCCCAGGCUCAAAAUGGAUCAUCCAUUUAUUCAUGAAGCACACGCGUUCGAUGUUCAAUUGGUCAGUGAAAGCUUUUCACAACCAAGAACACAGUUUACCGGAAGCAAAUCUAGAACAUCAGGAAAAAUUGCACCAGAAAAUCACCCCCGAUAACUGAUCAGUCCAGAACGCAACGCCUCUAACCACACAUAGCACGAGCCCUGCUACGCGCAGGUGCUUAGACGGAGCGCUUGUUGGCCGGCUGCCAGUCGCGGGCGCUCUUGGGGCGCUGCACCAGGAAGCCCAUGAUCUGCACCUGCUUCACGUUGUCGAAGGCCACCAGGCGCACGUAGGCGUCCGGGAAGGCCUUGGUGCAGGCAACAAUCUCGCGCAGCACCUGCAUCGGGUCGCGGCAGCCGAACAUGGGCAG